UGGAAACUGAAGCUGGGUGGAAAUCUGAAGCUACUGGAAGCCUAGCAGUCCUCAAGUGAAAGCUCAAACACUUUAAAUCGUACAGGGAACGGGCUCCCCAAGAAAGGGAACGUCUGAAAAGAUUUAAAGGAAGUACUCUUCAAGACAGAAGAGACAUGGAUAUUGUUUUAGGGCCCAGGAAGGAGACAGGAUUCACCUGAAGAGGCUGGGCCAGAGCAGUGAGCCGGCCAUGUGCUUCCAGGGACUGCAAGCAUUGACAUCACCUGCAGCAGCUGCUUGCCACUUUUUCCUUCUGUUGGGCACCAGGUUUCCACGUGCUGCUGGACCAUAGUUUGAGACUACACACCCCCAUCUGGACCCUAUUAAAAUGCAUCUCUUGACCAGUCACAGGAGGAGCCUGGGAGGGGGAGGAGAAGUCAAGGGAGAGGAGAAGUCAAGACAAGUUGACCUCAAAGGUACCACGGAAAAGUAAUGAUUAACACUGCUGCAGUCUGGGAACAGUUUAUUCAACUGCGGUGAC
rnacentral:lncRNA from 1 species